rnacentral:rRNA from 1 species
GAGGACCGAACCGACUAAUGUUGAAAAAUUAGCGGAUGACCUGUGGCUGGGGGUGAAAGGCCAAUCAAACCGGGAGAUAGCUGGUUCUCCCCGAAAGCUAUUUAGGUAGCGCCUCGUGAACUCAUCUUCGGGGGUAGAGCACUGUUUCGGCUAGGGGGCCAUCCCGGCUUACCAACCCGAUGCAAACUACGAAUACCGAAGAAUGUUAUCACGGGAGACACACGGCGGGUGCUAACGUCCGUCGUGAA